rnacentral:rRNA from 1 species
AUUGAACGCUGGCGGCAGGCCUAACACAUGCAAGUCGAGCGAGCGACGGACGGGUGAGUAAUGUCUGGCAACCUGCUUGCUCGAUCGGGAUAUCUACUGGAACCGGUCGCUACCACCGCCUACCCUCGGAUGUGCCCAGAUGGGAUUAGCUAGUUGGUGGGGUAACGGCUCACCAAGGCGACGAUCCCUAGCUGGGCUGAGAGGAUGACCAGCGAAACGGGAACUGAGACACGGUCCAGACUCCUACGGGAGGCAGCAGUGGGGAAUAUUGGACAAUGGGGGAAAGCCUGAUGCAGCCAUGCCGCGUGUAUGAAGAAGGCCUUCGGGUUGUAAAGGACGUUAGUCAGGGAAGCGGUACCUGAAGAAUAAGCACCGGCUAACUACGUGCCAGCAGCCGCGGUAAUAC